AGUGAACGCUGGCGGUAGGCCUAACACAUGCAAGUCGAACGGCAGCACAGUAAGAGCUUGCUCUUACGGGUGGCGAGUGGCGGACGGGUGAGGAAUACAUCGGAAUCUACUUUUUCGUGGGGGAUAACGUAGGGAAACUUACGCUAAUACCGCAUACGACCUACGGGUGAAAGCAGGGGAUCUUCGGACCUUGCGCGAUUCAAUGAGCCGAUGUCGGAUUAGCUAGUUGGCGGGGUAAAGGCCCACCAAGGCGACGAUACGUAGCUGGUCUGAGAGGAUGAUCAGCCACACUGGAACUGAGACACGGUCCAGACUCCUACGGGAGGCAGCAGUGGGGAAUAUUGGACAAUGGGCGAAAGCCUGAUCCAGCCAUACCGCGUGGGUGAAGAAGGCCUUCGGGUUGUAAAGCCCUUUUGUUGGGAAAGAAAAGCAGCAGGUUAAUACCCCGCUGUUCUGACGGUACCCAAAGAAUAAGCACCGGCUAACUUCGUG
rnacentral:rRNA from 1 species